GCCCUCUCGACUCCCCUGUUUAAGGAGCUCCAACGGCUGCCGAUUAUCUUCUGGUCUCAAUUCAAGGUGCAGGUUCUUACACCUACCUUGGUGUUUCCCCCUAUGAACAUGCACGACCUCUUCGAUCAUCCGGGGAGGCCCUUCUCUUGCUCCCACCUUUAACGCAGACUCAGUUGGUGGGGACGAGAGAGCGGGCCUUCUCAGUAGUUGGGGGACGGGCUGUGGUGCAGGCUGGAGAGCAGCCUGCUGCAAUAAAUCACUCUGACCAUGAGGAGGAAGAGCUUCUGGAAGUACUAGCAGUGGAGAUGAGUGCAAGCAACUCCUAGCAGCCUGUUAUGCCCAGCUCAGUCAGUGCUGAGAAAGAGCAGAUAGAAAUGCCAGCAGCUGAAGCGAGCAACUCAAAGCAACAUGUGCAAGAUUCAAGUGAAUCCAAAGCAGGCAAUUCCAAGCAAGCAUAAAAAAGGCUAGCUAUAGCCACAACAUUGGGGCUGGGCUGUGGCGCAGGCUGGUGAGCAGCUGCUGCAAUAAAUCACUCUGACCAUGAGGUCAUGAGUUCGAGGCCAGCCUGUGGUUGGGUGAGCACCCAUCAAUUAAAAAUAAAAUAUAGCCCCUGCUCGUUGCUGACCUAGCAACCCGAAAGAUAAUUGCAUCUAUCAAGUAGGAAAUAAGGUACCACUUAUUAAAAAAGUGAGGAGGCAAGGUCAACUAAUUUACAACCUGGAAUGAGGAAGUGCCAUCAGAGUGGAUGUUGAAGCAGCUGCUCCCCCCUGUGGCCAGAAUCGAACAUCCCCUCAGGAGAAGGUUAAAUUGCCUCUGCGUCUGUCUGUCUCUGUCUUGGUUUGAUGUGAUCUGCCCUGAGUCCCCUUCGGGGUGAGAAGGGCGGAAUAUAAAUACUUUAAAUAAAUAAAAUAAAUACACAUUGCAGAGACAAAUGCAAAAGUUGGGACAAUGGAGGUCUUUCUGACUUACUGAAAAAUGCUCAUUAAUUAGGCAAUUAAGACCUGGACCUGGAGCUACAAAUACAGUCAUUACUGACACUCCCUUGCUGCAGACAACAUCAUAUUUCUGACUUAACUUCCUAUGCCCGCUUGUGCUUCAUGAUUCUGACUCAAUCUUGUUACUGUCCUACCAUGACUAGAAAUGACUUCUGGAUUUGGUUCUUCUGACUUUGGACUGUUAGACUUCAAUGU
rnacentral:lncRNA from 1 species